rnacentral:rRNA from 1 species
GGGGCUUGCUCCCGAGUUAGUGGCGAACGGGUGAGUAUUAUAUCGGAACAUAUCCGGAAGUGGGGGAUAACGUAGCGAAAGUUACGCUAAUACCGCAUAUGCCCUGAGGGGGAAAGGGGGGGUUCGCAAGACCUCUCGCUUUCGGAGUGGCCGAUAUCGGAUUAGCUAGUAGGUGAGGUAAAGGCUCACCUAGGCGACGAUCCGUAGCUGGUCUGAGAGGACGACCAGCCACACNNGAACUGAGACACGGUCCAGACUCCUACGGGAGGCAGCAGUCCGGGGAAUUUUGGACAAUGGGCGAAAGCCUGAUCCAGCCAUACCGCGUGAGUGAAGAAGGCCUUCGGGUUGUAAGGCUCUUUCAGCCGGANAAGAAAUUGCUUCUAUUAAUACUAGGAGUAGAUGACGGUACCGGAAGAAGAAGCACCGGCUAACUACGUGCCAGCAGCCGCGGUAAUACGUAGGGUGCGAGCGUUAAUCGGAAUUACUGGGCGUAAAGCGUGCGCAGGCGGUAAUUUAAGCCAGAUGUGAAAUGCCCGGGCUCAACCUGGGAACUGCAUUUGGAACUGGAAGACUAGAGUGUAGCAGAGCCGGGUAGAAUUCCACGUGUAGCAGUGAAUUGCGUAGAUAUGUGGAGGAAUACCAAUGGCGAAGGCAGCCCCCUGGGUUAACACUGACGCUCAUGCACGAAAGCGUGGGUGAGCAAACAGGAUUAGAUACCCUGGUAGUCCACGCCCUAAACGAUGUCAACUAGGUGUUGGGGGAGGAGACUUCCUUAGUACCGUACCUAACGCGUGAAUUUGCCCGCCUGGGGAGUACGGUCGCAAGAUUAAAACUCAAAGGAAUUGACGGGGACCCGCACAAGCGGUGGAUAUGUGGAUUAAUUCGAUGCAACGCGAUAAACCUUACCUACCCUUGACAUGUACGGAAUUUUCCAGAGAUGGAUUAGUGCUCGAAAGAGAACCGUAACACAGGUGCUGCAUGGCUGUCGUCAGCUCGUGUCGUGAGAUGUUGGGUUAAGUCCCGCAACGAGCGCAACCCUUGUCAUUAAUUGCCAUCAUUAGUUGGGCACUUUAAUGAGACUGCCGGUGAUAAACCGGAGGAAGGUGGGGAUGACGUCAAGUCCUCAUGGCCUUAUGGGUAGGGCUUCACACGGUAAUACAAUGGCGCGUACAGAGGGUUGCCAACCCGCGAGGGAGCUAAUCUCAGAAAGCGCGUCGUAGUCCGGAUUGGAGUC